UACGAAGGGGGCUAGCGUUGUUCGGAAUUACUGGGCGUAAAGCGUGCGCAGGCGGCUUCUCAAGUCAGGGGUGAAAGCCCAGAGCUCAACUCUGGAAUUGCCUUUGAGACUGAGUGGCUUGAGUACGAGAGAGGUGAGUGGAAUUCCCAGUGUAGAGGUGAAAUUCGUAGAUAUUGGGAAGAACACCGGUGGCGAAGGCGGCCAUCUGGACAACUACUGACACUGAGACGCGAAAGCGUGGGUAGCAAACAGG
rnacentral:rRNA from 1 species